rnacentral:lncRNA from 1 species
GACAAGCCAUGAGUGAGCAAGCCAGUAAGCAGUGUUCCUCCAUGUUUCUUCUUCAGUUCCUGCCUCUGGGUUCCUGCUUUGAGUUUCUGCCCUGACCUCCCUCAAUAAUGAACUCUAAUAAGGAAAAGAGAAUAAACCCUUUACUCCUCAAGUUUUCAUGGUAACAAUCAAACUAGGAAGCAGAAUCUCCCAGUGAACAUAAGCCAAGUGCUAAGUGGGAAGCUCACAUUGAAAAAUAUGUGCUGUCCUUGUUGGAUUUGGUGGCAUAAACCUGCAGUAUCUGCUACUUGAACUGCUGCUCCUGAUGAGGCAUUAGGAUUGCAACUUCAAAAAGAAUUCAAGGCCAUUUGAAAAGACAUAUCCAGUCCAUGGAUCCAAGACUUAAGAGAGAACAUAGAAAAUCUGAAACAUGUUCAUGAUUCCUGUCUUCCCAGAAAAGAACAGAAUGUGGCAUCACACUGCUGAGGAGAAUAGUAAGACUGGACUAAAUAGUAAGACUGGACUGAAGCUCAUACAAGGACAUCCUGUGCUUUUAGCAUUGUAUUUGUUAUCUAAGGAAACUUGGAGAUUCGACGCCAGAGCCUGAACAAAAGUAGACAAAGAAGACAACAAAGAUAUCCCCUCACAGCCCCAAGCACACUGAGGUGAUGGGAAGUUUGACGAAAACAUGUGGACAACGAAAGAAAAGUGUGCAGAUGGCUGCUUCUUGUUUGGGAAGACACUGUUAGGAGUUUCUCAAGAGGACCAGUAAGGCAAAGGUGAGAACCCAGGGCCUCUAUUAGUGACCCAAGCCAGCAUCUAUUUCGG